rnacentral:rRNA from 1 species
CUGCCGGACCUGACUGCUAUCGGAUUGAUACUAAGCCAUGCGAGUCUUUGUAGCAAUACAAGGCAGACGGCUCAGUAACACGUAGUCAAUCUACCCUAUGGACGAGGAUAACCUCGGGAAACUGAGAAUAAUACUCGGUAGUUCAUGAUGCCUGGAAUGGCUCAUGGACCAAAUGAUUUAUCGCCGUAGGAUGGGACUGCGGCCUAUCAGUUUGUGGGUGGGGUAAUGGCCCACCAAGACGAUUACAGGUACGGGCUCUGAGAGGAGUAGCCCGGAGAUGGGUACUGAGACACGGACCCAGGCCCUAUGGGGCGCAGCAGGCGAGAAAACUUUGCAAUGUGCGAAAGCACGACAAGGUUAAUCCGAGUGACUUCUGCUAAAGAAAUCUUUUGUUAGUCGUAGAACCACUGAUGAAUAAGGGGUGGGCAAGUUCUGGUGUCAGCCGCCGCGGUAAAACCAGCACCUCAAGUGGUCAGGAGGAUUACUGGGCCUAAAGCAUCCGUAGCCUGCUGUAUCAGUUUUCGGUUAAAUCUAUGCGCUCAACGUAUGGGCUGCCGAGAAUACUGUAUAGCUAGGGAGUGGGAGAGGUAGACGGUACUCGGUAGGAAGGGGUAAAAUCCUUUGAUCUAUUGAUGACCACCUGUGGCGAAGGCGGUCUACCAGAACACGUCCGACGGUGAGGGAUGAAAGCUGGGGGAGCAAACCGGAUUAGGUACCCGGGUAGUCCCAGCUGUAAACUAUGCAAACUCAGUGAUGCAUUGGCUUGUGGCUAGUGCAGUGCCGCAGGGAAGCCGUUAAGUUUGCCGCCUGGGAAGUACGUACGCAAGUAUGAAACUUAAAGGAAUUGGSGGG